AUGAUUUAGCAAUCAUGAUACUUUGACUCCAAUUAAGAAAAACCAUAAUCUAGAAACACCAUAUGAAGGGAUGCAAUUUAACAGUUAUGAAGAAGCCAAGGAGUAUUAUACUGAAUAUGGACGACGCAAUGGUUUUACAAUUCGUGUUCGAUCAACAAAUAGAACUCGGAAAGGCUUUGGAGAAGUGACAGCAGCUUACAUGGUAUGUUCUCGGGAGGGAAACAAAGUAAAAGUUGACAAUAUAGAAGGAGUAGAUAAAAAAACAGAAGUUGCAGUACUAUACAAUGUGGAUGCACAACAAAGAUGCAAAUCCUUCUUAAUGAAGACAAUAAUAUGUGGAAGGUGAUGGCAUUUUCAGAUGAACACAAUCACAAAUUUGUGUCACCACUAAAAAGAAUGCAUAUGCGGUCAAAUAAAUGCAUGCCAGAAGAUGUAAAGGAUAUGACAGAAAAAUUCCAUAGAGAGAACCUUGAAGUUGGAAAAGUUCCUGUAAUCCUUGAGGGUCAAAAUAUUGGAUUUAAUAAAAGGGAUUGUUGGAAUCAUCUACGCAAUGUUAGGCACAAAAAUUUAGAACUUGGUGAUGCCCAAUCUGUCGUUGAUUAUUUACACAGGAAACAAUGUGAGAAUCCUCAAUUAUUUUAUAGAGUUCAAGUCGACGAACAUGGUAGAGCGGGAAAUUUUUUCUGGGUGGAUGCGCGAUCACAUUUAUCAUACGAACAAUUUGGUGAGGUAGUUUUCUUCGACACUACAUACAGAACGAAUAAAUAUGAAAUGCCAUUCCCACCAUUUACGGGGGUAAAUCAUCAUUAUCAAACUAUCCAAUUUGGGUGUGCUCUUUUACAAGAUGAGACUGAAGUUACAUUUUCAUGGUUGUUUAGCAUAUGGCUUGAAGCUAUGGAGGAGAAACAUCCAUCAGCAAUCAUAACUGACCAAGAUGCUGCCUGGCCGGUGCUAUAAAGAAAGUUUUCCCAAAUGCGCGACAUCGUUUAUGCCUUUGGCACAUUAAGAAAAAAUUCCCUGAAAAAUUAUCACAAAUUUAUUUUAAGAAGUCAAAGUUCAAAGGAGAUAUGAAAGAAUGUAUUCAUCAUACUUACAAGAUACAAGAGUUUGAAGAAAGGUGGAAAAAGAUGAUUAUAGAGUUUGAUUUGGGCGACAAUGAAUGGUUAACUGAUCUAUAUGAGAUUCGAGAAUCUUGGGUACCUGUCUACCAUAGAAAUACAUUUUAUGCGGGUAUUAAUAUAAUGGGUCGCAGUGAAGGGGUAAAUGCCUUUUUCAAAUCAUUUGUCUCAUCAAAAACCAAUCUCAGAGAAUUUGCGAUUCGGUAUGAUCAAGCAGUGAAAGAAAUUGUUGAUAAAGAAGAUAGUGAGGAUCUCAUAUCAGAGCAUAAAAUCCCGAAUAUUGAUAGCAGAAAUUUGAUACUUAAGCACGGUGCUACAAUAUACACUCGCAACAUUUAUAACAAGUUUCAUGAGCAACUAUUAGACGCACAACGUUUCAAGUCCGAUGAGAUAGAAAGAGGGGAUGAAUUUAAUACUUACUUAGUAACAUCUAAGAUUGGUCACCCGCAACAGUUCACUGUAAAGAUAAAGCCAGGUACGUAUGAGGGGUAUUGUGAAUGUCAAUAUUUUGAAUUUAAAGGUUUACCUUGCAAACAUGUGCUUAAAGUUCUUAUGAAGCUAGAGGUAGAUGAAAUACCACCACAUUUUAUUCCGAAGAGAUGGUUGAAAGGUGCCAAUUCAUUUAGGAUUAUGGAUGAAACAUUACUCUCUGAUAAUUAUGAGAACUCAUAUUCAUUUUGACUUAGUCAUCUUUGUCGAAGAUCAACUCAGCUGUCAUGUUUUGCUAUAAAGUCUGAUAUACUAUAUAAAAUGGCAAUUGAAGGCAUUGAAAAAGUCUUUGCGCAUAUCAGGGAUGAACAUAAUAAGACAGUUGAAGCUGAUAGAACGGCUCCAAUUUCAAGUUCUAAAAUUCAAGAAGAUACUGAAGUUGAGAAAUUAAGUCAUCCUCCAUUUAUUGCUGAUCCACAUAUAUCGCAGGUGAAAAGUAGACCUUCUGAAAAAUCGAAAGGAAAAAUAAAUAGUUCCGAUAGAAUGUUAAGUUUUGUUGAAGCAUCAGUACCCAAGCCGAGAAAGUGCUCUUUAUGUGAGGAAUCCGGGCAUGACAAAAGAAAAUGCCCACAAAAACCAGAUAAAGAACAAUUGAAAAUUAUUGAACCAUGUUCGACCAAUGAGAAAACCACUUCACUUUGAAAUGACAUCACAGGUUUCCAAGAGAGUUCAUAUGGGUAUUUAUACAGAUUUUAAGUUUGAGAUCCACAAGUUUGAUAUCCUAAUCCGUAGAAAGACGACGAGAAAGAUGAUGAGCAGUCAGAACUACAUUGUCUAUGUUUUGCAGAAGCCUUCUAAUUUAUGAUUCAAGUGAAUUUUAUGAGCUGUUGAUUCACGUUUUUUUAUGUUUUAUGAGUUUGGAUUCAAUGACGAAUAAAUGAAUAUUUUUUUUAAC